AAAAGAAGGAAAGGGAAAGGAAGAGAAAAGGAAUUUAUAGGAAAAGGGAAUAGGGUGAAGAAGAAGGGAGAUUAGCGAGAGAUUUCAACUCUGACUUAGAGGCUACCCAAAUCAGUGAGUGGGAAUAAACUUUUCUUUCUU